rnacentral:rRNA from 1 species
AACGUAGGAGACGAACGUUAUCCGGAGUUACUGGGCGUAAAGGGCGUGUAGGCGGUUUGUUAAGUCUGGCGUGAAAGCUCUCGGCUAAACCGGGAGAGGUCGUUGGAUACUGGCGAACUAGAGGAUGGUAGAGGCGUGUGGAAUUCCGGGUGUAGUGGUGAAAUGCGUAGAGAUCCGGAGGAACACCAGUGGCGAAGGCGACACGCUGGGCCUUACCUGACGCUGAGGAGCGAAAGCGUGGGUAGCGAACAGG